rnacentral:lncRNA from 1 species
AUUACUAAAAAAAUGGAUAUAACUGCAAGUUAUCUAAAAUAUGACCUAUUCAUAUAAUAACCAUCAAUUGUACAGCAUACUAACAGUAUAAUCACAUUCAUCUUUGAGUUGUUGAUUCUAAAUUCAAGCACAUAAAACUGAAUCUUACACUUAUUUCAACAAAAUCAUCACUGACCAAACACACCUACUUCGACAAAAUCAAAACUAAAACUCAAAUGCUCAAAUGAUGCUUAUUGUUACAGCACUUUAACAAACCCAGAAUAACAUACAUUUAGCUAACCCAACUUAAACACAAACUCAACCCCUAACCCAGGCUUGAUCAACCCUUUCUCAACAAUUCAUAAGUCCAUUAUAACAUGAUAAACUAGUUAAUCCAACUGACAACAACUAAAUUACAUUGAACCAACUGACUAAGCAUAUAAAUAUGAUGGAAAAGGUAAAAGAAAAAAAAGCAUAUUUGAUGACAUGCUUCAAACUCUG